GGCCUUGAGUGUGUGCGUGCAUAAGGCAGGUGGAGGAGGGGUUGGAAACGUCGCCGCCCGAAGAAGAAGGGAGGACGACGCGCCGCCACUACGCCAGCUUGAGCAGCCUUUCGAAGGACUGCGCGAGGUACCGGAGGCGGGACUACGUAGUAGGCGCGGGUCGGCGGCGGAGCGCAAGGAAGCACGGGCCGGCAGCGGCUGCUCCGCCUCCUCGGUCCGCUUCCCCUUCAGGGAGGUCCCAGCCGCGUCAUCCGCUCGCGGCGCAUCCGCAGCCACCGCGACUACUCCUGUACCUGCUCCCUCCACCUCUCCUGCUGGGGGCCGGCAUGGGUACGGCGGGCGCCUUCCGGAACCACUCGCGCUGCCCCUCCUUCUGUGUCUGCUGUGACAGCUCCUCCUCACCCUCAUCCCUCGGGCAGAAGUCGGCGUAGCAGCGUCGGUGCAACACCGUCCACCGAGGGAUGGACCCGCGAGAGGGGGCGAGGCCGCGGCGUUAGUUCGGGCUUAGUCGCGGAAGGAAGCAGCAGCUAGACGCCGGGGAAGUGUGCGCACCAGACGGGCUGCGCGCCGGAGGCGUGCGACGUGACCAGCUCAGGAAGAGCCAAAAGAUGACGAUAUGGAGCGUAGUUCUUCUAGAAGCUACCCAAAGUAUUAGGAUAGACCUAGACCCUUGUAUAGUUCACCAUACCUUCUAAUCCAGCAGGGCACUACGCCCGAGGGCGCUCGGCAACCUAGAGUCUAAUUCUCCCUAACUUCCCUCUAUUCCCGCCAAACUAUACGGAAAAAGCUUCGGCUACGACCUAUAUGGAAAUGUCGCCUACUUCUACUAGGUCGACCCAGUACAUUUAAAAACUAUGUAGACGAAGUAUACACUUAAAGAAUAAUUAAAAACGUACCCAAUCAAACGACGUUUUCCAACAUAAAACUUAACUUGAUGCUUAAAACAAAAACCAAGUACAACACCCGUGCUGCUACUUACCUACAUUUAGGAAACCUUUUG
rnacentral:rRNA from 1 species